UACGGGGGGGGCAAGCGUUGUUCGGAAUUACUGGGCGUAAAGGGCUCGUAGGCGGCCAACUAAGUCAUACGUGAAAUCCCUCGGCUUAACCGGGGAACUGCGUCUGAUACUGGAUGGCUUGAGGUUGGGAGAGGGAUGCGGAAUUCCAGGUGUAGCGGUGAAAUGCGUAGAUAUCUGGAGGAACACCGGUGGCGAAGGCGGCAUCCUGGACCAAUUCUGACACUGAGGAGCGAAAGCCAGGGGAGCCAACGGG
rnacentral:rRNA from 1 species